UACGUAGGUGACAAGCGUUGUCCGGAUUUACUGGGCGUAAAGAGCGCGCAGGCGGUCGAUCAAGUCGAGUGUGAAAGCCCCCGGCUCAACUGGGGAGGGUCAUUCGAUACUGAUCGACUCGAAGGCAGGAGAGGGUAGUGGAAUUCCCGGUGUAGUGGUGAAAUGCGUAGAUAUCGGGAGGAACACCCAGGGGGAAACCAGUGGACUGGGCAUGUGCUGACGCUCAGGUGCGAAAGCGUGGGGAGCGAACCGG
rnacentral:rRNA from 1 species